rnacentral:lncRNA from 1 species
UUUUUUUUUUUUUUUCUGUCUAGUUUCCUAUUCUAUAAGUAUCAGAUUUCCAACAGAUAUCUAAUAAGGAGAAAAAGAAAAUUUUCAAACUGCAUGAGCAUUUUAAGGAAAAGGCUAGCCCCUGUAGCCAUGUUCUUGAAACCAAAUGCAGAAUAUUGGAUCUAAAUAAUUUGGUAACCCCAGAAAACUGCAUAAUAUCAUAAUUCAGAAAACAUUUUGAGUGAUAGGAGAAAGGAACCUGGAGGGGCUCAUUCUCAUCAGUUGAACCAAGCAUCUCAUUCACCAGAAUCUGUCGUUCCUCAAGACUACCAAAAGUCAAACACUUUUCGACAACAUUUGAGGCAAACUUCUGCAGACUCAUCUGAACUAUCUGUCCAGCUAACUUCUUAAUGAUGCAAGACUUCUCGCUAGGUUUCCCAUGCUCCAAAACAUGCUGUCAAAAAAUUAAUUUCAAAUCUGAAGAAAUUACAAGCAUACAGAAUAAAAACUGCAAAUGCUGCACAUGAUGAAACAUUAACUAAGAGAUGAGCAAGUAAAACACAAGCCAUGCAGGUUUCAUGUAUACAUAUUACACAAGCUGUAAAGAGGAACAGAACGGCAGAAUAUUUCUAGAUCUUCAAUAAUGUACCAGUUUUCCUGAAUUAUUGUUUUUUGAACAGCAGAAUCUUAUUCUCUAUCAAGCCUAUCUGGAUUUCUCCUUAACAAAGGAGCGAAAGAUUGAGAAAAUUAUGUUACUCAAGUCCUCUCACUUAACCAAGAAAAGAAGAAAAACUCAUGAUCCAAACUAUAGAAUGAAAUUAUGAUUCUUAAAAAACCAAUGCUCUUUCAUUAUGAGUUGCCAUUCAUGCCACUUCAACUUGUUUGAUAAAUGUAACUCAUGAUUUUGGGUAAGAAAUCAAAAGCAGAAAAUCUCGGUAAAAUAUGGCCCACAAAACUUAUAUGCAGAUGCCUAUAUAAGAUUAUCAUCUAAAAGUAUAUCCAAAAAUGACCUUGUGCAACUAUGUUUUUUUCGUAAUCACAAAAAUAUUUGCUCAAGGAUAUGCUAUAGGGAAGAAAAACGUCCCUUUGGUACGUCAUCACAUUAGUUGAGCAGUGACAACAAUUAGAAGGCACUGCAUUGGUCAUCGUGAACAAUCACUAGGACACAUAUAAAACUGCACAAAACUAACAGAAAACUUUAUCUUAGAUUGAAAUUAUGGAAGCUAAGAAUUGCUACUACUUGAUAAAACAUGAACCUUCUCUGAUGCCAAAUGUCGCUAACUGAUGUAUUUAUGACAAGCAUUAAAAAGAUAAUCCAGAUAGAGAAGGAACCUGGACAACAUAAUUUCCGUACUGGUUUUGGGCCAACAAGCAAACUGAUUGCAAGAUCUCUCCCAUCACAAUCUGCUGAGUCUUAUUGUCAUCACAAUACUCCAGGACUCUCUGAAACAAAAGAAAUUUGUUAAGCAUGAAGUACAGGCAGCAGCAUGCACAUAGCAUCCAUAUUCUGAAGAAUAAUAAAACCCAAGGUCAAUAAACCUGUAUGACACGACAGCCAUAUGGAUGAGUAGAUAAUGUCACAACUUGAUCAUAGAAGGUUGAUAUGAUGAACUGAAUUGCAUCCUGGGGAACACACUCUAUACAUUUCUGAAUAACAUGGUUUCCAUUCUGGUCACGUACACAACGCAUGAUGUGUCCAUCAAGCUCCAAAACCAUUUUUUUCUUCUGGUCCAAAUCAGCGACUUCUAUGGCCUGUGCAAUAGGUCAAUAAGUUGAUUUUCCAACACUAACUAAGCUUUUAACAAGGAACUUAAUGACCAGGAAGUCAAACAGGAGAAGAAGAACUCCAAAUACAAUUUAUUAGCAAAUGCUCUCUUCAAAAAAAAAAAAAACUCGACAUUGCUUUUCAAUAUAGAAAAGCUUAAUUUCAUCAGUUAAACGUGUAUUCAUUCAAAUAUGGGUGAUGUGCAUUAUAUGCUUUUGUCUCUCACAUUGGUGUAGGAUUUUGAAGUUUAAUAUUACAAGAGAGAAGAAAGUGACUAAAAGGUUUGUUUCCCAUCACGGACAAAUCUUCACAAUCCAACUUUCUAUGGAGUAACAACAAAAGUCACAAACAUACGAAAUCUCAAACAAAGAAAUUUGAAAUAAUCAAGUCAUCAAAUGUAUGGAGCUGUCUACGACUAAAAUACCUUUUGAAUUACCCGACAACCAUACAUUUGAAGGCUGAGAGCCAAAACAUGUCCAUUAAGCUGGUCAGCCAGUUCUCUUCUCUGAGCUGCAGAUCCAUGCUCAAGAAACUAAAACAAGACCAAAUGUAAGCUAUUCUGGUACAUAUGUGUUACAUAAAUAAUUUAAACUUGACAGUUAAACUGUUGAAGAGUCUAAUUGCUAUACCUUCUGUACGACAUAAUUGCCAAAAACAUCAGUCAUCAAAGACAGAGCACCGGGCAUGAUUUCUUCAAAAACCAUGUUUUUCUCUUCGCGUGUAGCUGUUUCAAGUUUCUGCUGUAUAAAACGACUUCCAUACUGGUCACCGCUGCACACAUACAUGAAAAAUUAACAAUUUCAAUUGACACAAUGACCAUAACAUACUCUAAGAAAAUUAAAAUGCAAACUAAUACUUCAGAUCACAGGUAAAUGAUGGCAAAAUUAAUUGGCCAUUGUAAAGCUGGAUCCAAAAUGCAACCAGAUGUGAACAUUUAGUGGGAUGAUCUGACAAUUCAUUAGUUGCACAGUCCAAUUUAACUUUAUAGAAAAAGAAGUGAUUGCUUACAAAAAUUCUAGAAAAAUCUUUAUUUAACUAAAGUUGAUAUUUUCUUGCUCCAUGUUAAAUAAACUACAACUAGUUGUAACUAUUUUCAAGGCAUCUAUUUAAGAUUCUAACAUGAACUUUAGUUAACAAUUUGAAAUUUAUCCAACAAUAUUGCUAGCUAGACCUCUGUACUGCAGUAAACUAGCUGUUCUGUCAAAAAAAAAAAAGCAAAAAAAAAAGCAUAUAGACUUGAGAGUAGCAUUUGAGUUCGAAAUACCUAAACUCAACCACGUGGCCAGCAAUCUCAGCAAGUUCAAAGCAUCUGGUCUUAUUGUUCUUGAACUCCUCUAAAAGUGAGGAAGGAAAAUGUUCAUCCAUGUUACGAGUGGGAUCAAAAUGCCAAGCUCCCAUGAUACCUCCAUUCAGAUUUCUCAACCCGUAAGGAAACUGCAUGGAGCGCUCACCAAGCCUGAGAGGGCUGCCAGGUCCAACUGGGGAAUCAAUUUGUCCUGCUAAAGGGCUUCCUGGAUAUGCUAAACCCAGGGCAAAAGCAGGAUUGGCAUAGUAACCCUGAUUCAGAGACCCAGAUUUCCCAAGAAGAGGGAUGCCAUACUGUUUCUGCGAUUGAAGUAAUGAUUCAAUGUGAGCUUUCUGGAUACCAGGUAAAUCUGCACAAGAGUUGCCUGUGUAACCCCUCUCCAUGGAAGAAUCACCAUAGGUAGCAGCAACUUGUGCAGUAUAUUCAGCAGCCCUAAUAUGCUGAACAUAAAGAGGGUCAUUAAGUUGUGCUCGGACAGCUGCUACUGCUGAUUGAUUACCAAUUUGACUGAUAUUUUGCAAGUCCGUUAGGCCAGCUAAACUUGGCGGUGCAAAAAUACCACAUCCAAAAGCCCCGGUGUCCAUAGCAAGAGAUGCAAUUGCUGAAGCAGAGGCAGCGCUUCCUAAUAAAGGAUUCAUGGUUCCUGUGCCAAUCUGAUUCUGCAGGAUUGAAGGAAAUGAAGGAUUAACAGCAUAAGCACUCAAUCCACUUCCAGAAAAAGCUGUGUCUACACUCUCAAGGUUCUGAUAGUAACCAGAUGAACCACCAGGACUAGCAACCAGAGGUAAAGGUGCUUUCACAUAUGAAUUGGCAGACGACAUAGUGGAUCUGUGUGGUUCGCUUGGAUCAUUGACUCUCAAGCUUGAAUUUCUUGCCUCCAUCUUACAUCCAGCAGUGGAAUCAGUGUACGAAGACUUCAACGAAUGUGGAGGAGAGGAAACUCUAAAAGAAUGUGGAUCGGAGUUCUUCAUGAUAGAGCGUGUUUCUUGAUUGGCUAGAGAAUCAAAAAAAAAUUUCCGGUGAUCAUCCAACUCACUUUGAAGCUCCGAUUGAGAUACAUUUGCAGCAGUUACUGCACCAUCAGUUGACAAGCUAAAAUGUGAUAAUGCAGCUAUAAGGUCAUCAGAUUCAACUGUAGCCGAUAGAUUGACUUUGUCUUUGUGGCCAUCGGCACCAACGCUCAGACCAAAAGGUGACGAACAAGGACUAGGGGCCCUUGCAACCAGCUGAGGGUCAGGAGUGGUGCUUUUCUCAAGGGAUGGACCUUCAACAGCUGCAAAACCAUGUGGAAGUCCAUUGAUGCACUGGACGUAUUCACCAGUUUGCUGCCUGCCUAAAGCUAAGACUUGAUUGUUUAAAGAAAACUGGGAAUCAGCAGAACUUAAUGCUUCAAGACUAUUUGCAUAUGCAUUACGACUUUGCGGGCGUGAUGGAUGGUUUGAUAUGGGAGUUCUGCUCCCAAAGUCAUCCUGAGAAAAAUAACAGCAAUAUAACCAGAAGUACAAGUUGAUCUAUGAUUCACACUGUCCAUAAAAAAAUGAAGUGAAAAAAGGCAAGAAGAAAGGAGAAAGAUUUGACCAAUUACAAAUCCUAGGACAAAAUAAAUGAAUGAAAAUCAUGAACAUAUGCAACUGCAAACUGCAACAAAUAGAUCUAGCACCUUACAUAUGCAACUGCAAACUGCAAAACCUUGAACAAGUAAUGCAUGAUGACAUAGGAGAAAUGCUAGCAAACACAAUAGAUCUAGCACCUUCCAAAUUAUAUGCACUUGCAAAAAAUUGAGAUUGCAUAAGCAGCAAUAGUGAAAAAUCAUGCCAAGUGCUGGAACUGCUUUUUUGUUUCAAAAAAAAUACCAGCUAUCAAUGAAUCAUAAUUCAUAAUGUGAACAAAGAUAAAGACCAGUCACAUUAAAAACUUCUGUUUACAACAACUCCAAAUGGCACAGUUGUAUUAAGUUUAGCCAAUUUUGCAAUUCAAAAUUUUAAUUAAUAAUCAUUAAUUGCUAGUGAUAUUACCUGGUUCAAGUUUCAGGAGAUUUGGGAUUGGGUUUAAACUAAAUUCGGCCUCCUGGUGAACUCACUAACACAUUCAAAUCACUGAUAGUAUCAUCCACAUAACAUACAUAAUGUUUUUGGACUGCUUUGCAACAAUAACAACCAAGUUGUAUGUCACUUGCAAUCUGUCUCAAAUAACGGACAAUUUUAGACAUCACAACAGGCAAUUGUAUUCGCUAAUUCCAUGUCCACUAAACACACUCCCAAUCAUUUUCCAGGAAUCCAGCAGCAUGGUAUCUGAUGAAUACCGCAGUCUUAUGGAGAAUCAUAUUGGUCAAAUGCCCAGACUAAUAUACAUCGGAGCAUAAAGGUAGCUGCACCUAAUUUGAGAUUCUUCACCAAAGGAUCCUUCGUUUAUAACCAAGAUAUGAAAGAUCACUUCGGUAAAAGUUCAUGCCUUGUUAAUUUUAGAGCAAGAGAAUAUGCGCUGUAAGCCAAAAGAAAUGAUAUGUGGUGGAAAAGUUGCAACGUAUGGUAAGAGGGAAAGAAGAAGAAAAACGAAAUUUGGGAUGCUAGAAAUCACCUGAAGGACGUCAGCAAAGCUCUUCUGCCGGCUGAGUGAAAGCCCGAUCAACCCAUCUCCACCAUUAUCCCGCCAAUUCCCCGAGCAAGGGGCCUUCCUGGACUCCACAGCAUGCUCCUGUGAAUUAAACAGUGGCUGCUGGGAGAAAAGAGACAUAUCGACCUGUUCACCCCAACGGUUCGAUUUCCUUCUAUCUCCAAUCCCAUCGAGAACCGAUCUCCCCGCCUGAAGCCUAUGUGUCGACCUCCAGUCCUCUUUGGACAGCACCGGCGGCGGGAGCCGGGGAUUCAGAUUCACAUGAGUAUAGUAGUAAGAGAGGUAAGUCGGAUUAGAACGGAGCUCCUCCUCGGAUAAGAAACUAUCUCCAUUCUUCGGCUCCGACAUAUUCGGCACACCGGCGCCAACCUCCAGGCCAAAGAGCCCUCCGACGGCACUCAGGGACCCCUCCACGGUGGGAGGGGCGGAGCCGCUCCGAAAGAUAUUCAGCUCCCUCUCUCGAUCGAUCGCCUCUUGCCUCCUCUGCUCCCGAAGCAGCAUCCCCAGUUCCUCCAAAUCAUCGCCGCCAAACCCAUCCCCUCCGCUUCCGAUCACAGAACGAACUCCCAUCUCCGGCAGCACCGUCACAGGUAUCUCAUUGGCCAGUACAAGAACACAAAGAAAGAUAGAACUAACCUAAAAACCAACCGACGGGGAAUAAAGAACCAAAAAGACAAACUUUAUCAGCUCCAUGCCUCGAAAACCCAAAACCACUACGACUUGGAAAAAAGAUUUGAUCUUUCACCAUUUAAAGUAGUCUUAACGAUAUGUUUCGAUCGGAAAACCUCACAUCCCAACCCCGGCAACGGGAAACCCGUAGUAGGCAUAGUGAUUCCUGGAGGCGUCCGGCAGGGCCAACGCCAUAUUUUCGUAAGGAAUCCGAGAGACCAGGACAAAAAAGCUGCGAUCUUUACAACUCCGAGCUAAAGGCGAUCGCUGAUCGGCGAUCGAUUAAGCCAAUUCCCAUAGAGAAAACACCGGGAUACACAACACGAGCCACCCAGAGUCGGGAACGGUGACGAGCAGCGUCGAGAUGGAAGCGAAAGGGGGGAGAGUGGGAGGAGACUGAUAAAGCACAAAAUGAAAACGAUUCUGACCGUCUGAUCCUGAUGCGAACGGCCUCGAUCGGACGAGGCGCACGCGAGAGCGUUUAGGGUUUUUAUUGCAAAUAUUUAAUGUGGAAAUGCGCUGAAUCUAUCGCGGCUUUAAAAUAUACAUAUAUUUCGUCGGACAUCGGAAUGCGAUGGAUAGCUUAUUUUUUAUUAUUUUAUCCAUAGAAAGUGUUGAAACUAUUUUUCUAAAAAACAAAAUCUGCAUUUUAGCUAUUUUCUAAAAAACAAAUUAUUUUUUUUUCAAACAAUAUUCUUAAUUUUAAAAAUAUUCAAAUUAUUAUUCAAAAUAUUUUUCACUUAUUAUAGUAUUUUAACAUAUUAUAGUGUUUUGAUCAUCAUAAUAAAAAUACUAUAAAACAUAUUUAAAAAUAUAAUAAAUAAAUUAAAUAAAAUAAAAUAAAAACCAUUUGAUAUAUCAUACUAUAAUUCAAAUACAUAUUUAUAAUAAUUUAUUAAUAAUAUCACUAAAAUAAAAAUUAAAAAUUAAAAAUUAAUUUAUUAUAGUAUUUUAAUCACUAUAAUAAAAAUAGAUCAAAUUAGACUGUAAUCUCAAUCAAACCAAUUACAUAUGUUUUCUAAUCAAGACUACCAUGUGACGAUCAAUUACCCUUUCACAUGGAAUAAAAAUUUCCUAUCAAAUUAAGGGGUUAAUUUAUCUCUCGAAUUAGCCCAUUAAUUUGAUAGGAAAUUUUAGAUCUAAAAACUGAAAUCAAGAUGCCAUGAAAAAUAAAUUUUAUUUUAUUUUAUUUCCACGAGUGUCUUUAAUCCACUGUAACUAACUAACUUGUUCCUUCAACUAAAAAGUACAAGUAGUUGGUGCAUUAUCGAUUUCAUACAAUAAAAGCAUUUUUAUCGAGUGGCGGUGGUCACAUAUGUCAUAAGAAGUUUGGUGGGAGAAGAUAUCCUCCUUUUCGUAGCCUAUAUUGCUAUGCAAAGGUUUGUGCCGAUGAAGCGAGAGUUGAGGAGCCUUUCUUAUUUGUUGGAACAUCAUGAUCAAUCUCAAGUAUGGCAAAGGUUGUUUGGAGAAGCACUCUUUCUCUUCGAGUUAGCUUGCCAUGGCGUUGGUAGCCAUCAAGAUACAAGUGGUUCAGACUUUGGACUAAAUAGCCAAAGAAAUAGAUCGAAGAUUAAAAUAUAUUUUUAUUAUACUAAGUGAUGUAUAUGAUGUGAGAUUUAUUUAUUUUAUACAAUAAUAUAAUAUAGUAAGUAGUAAUCAAUCUGGAUAUGUAUGUAAGUAUAAAAAUUAUAAUUAUAAUUAUACUAUUAUGUGUAAUAUAUUUAAUAUUAAAUCAAAUAAUAAUAUAUUUGAUUUGAGCCAAACAACAACCCAAUCAAGUCAACAAAAGUAGGGUUACUGAUCUUGCGUUAUCUGUUGCUUAUCAUGGGUGUUCCUCGACUAGCAUAGGAGCUAUGACGACCUUUUCUCGGCACAUCUUUCACGAUAAAAUAAUAUUAUCAUCUAACGCCCACCUAUGUCCUACUGCAAGUUGUCGUCGUAAUCUGUUUGUGCCAAAUCCCACCAUCACACCUUUCAUCCAUCGUGACAUUCAUCGACCCCGUCUCGGUUUCCUCUUCUCUAUGGAUUCCUUCUGUGAUGCCUCCCUUCAUCAUGUCACCACCGAUCUCUUUUCUCUCGCAUCAUGACCCAAGGUCGCUAAUGUCCUUUCCAUGAUUGAUGGCUCGUUUCAUGCAACCAUCUAAUAAAAUCGCAUCCACCUUACUCUUACAUCCACCAUUACAUACAACGACUUCUCCGCCCUCUCAUUAAGCGACCAGGACCUAGCACAAAUAUCGAUGCUUAUACCACACAAUGCAUCAUCGUUAUGCUCAACAACAAUUACUGCAGGCAACGAUGUAACCAAUGAACCCCUCUACCAUCGAGGGGGUUGAUCAUCACAAUGCCCAAAACAUCGCUGAUAAGUAGAUGAGAUUUCCCUAACUGUUGAGGAAAUCUCUCUACUCUGUUGAGGGAAAUCCUCUAACCCGUUGAGGAAACUUANNNNNNNNNNNNNNNNNNNNUAGUAGGUAGUAGGUAGUAAGUAAGGUAAGGAAGAGAGAGAGAGAGAGAGAGAGAGGAGAACGGAGGAAGUUCGAGAAGGCUUCCGCUACAGCAAAAGGCAAAAGCCCUGCCUACCAAACACAAGUUGGGAAGGAAACGGCGGAGUCGCCGUCGUUUUAACGGCGCCGGCGCCUCCGCCUCCGCCACCUGUCACCGAUGGCUUCUUCCCUCUCAUCUAACUGCAGAUAUUAGUAGACGCCAAGCGCACGCCCAGAUCUGUACUCUCUUCUACUUCCUCUUCUUCUUCGUCUCCCUAACCCUAGUAGAAGAAGAAGAAGGCGAAGGGGUAUAAACUCUAGUAGAGGGAGAGGGAUAGAAGGAUGCGCGGUUACGUGACGCUGCCGAUUGUGAUCGUGCUCGCGGCGAUCGUGUACAUCUACUGCACCACCGUGUUCGUGGUGAUCGACGGGUGGCUCGGGCUGUCCACGGCGGCCGGGAUCGCUAACGCCGGCGCGCUCACGGCGCUUACCCUGAUGGCGGUGGUCACCUAUGGGAUGGCCGUCUUCAAGGACCCUGGCCGCGUCCCGGCCUCCUUCGCACCGGAUAUCGAGGACCCCGAGAGUCCCAUCCACGAGAUCAAGAGGAAGGUACCCAUCUUCCCUUUUGCUCGUCGAGUAUUGCUGAUAUUCCUGUGGUUUAAUAGUUAUUGUUAUUUAUUUCGGUCAAAAUGGGUUCGUUUGGAUGAUCUGAUGGAUCUGAGCUCAAUGUGGCAAUAAAGAUGAUGUCUUUUAUUGUGACUUGAAGAAGGGAUGUCCGAUCUAUUCUUAUUUGGUUACAAAAAAAAAAAGGUUUCUUUGAUCAUUUUCCAUAUGCUAUUUAUUGUCGAUAGAGUUAUUAUUGACCUUUGAGCGUUCCUUAGUUGUUGAUAAUUUUGUAACUGUUUAGAUUCAUCAACUCGGUCAAGGUUCAUUCCGAAGAGAGGAACUUAGAAAUUACAUCUUUGGUAUAUUAGAUAUCGGCAUUUUGGUGUGACCUUUUGCUUUGCCUGGAUUAUCCUCGUGAUCUUCUAUUUUGGGCCACUUAUGUUUUAGUUUCUGGAUGGAGCAGUUCAAAGUGUUUUGAGUUAUUAUUAUCUUCUUAAAUGGAUUAGUUGAUUCACUCCGUAGACGUCAGAUACAGACUAUCAGAGAAUAGAUCCAGUAUGAUGAAUAGAAUAAGAUCUGAGUUAUCCAAUUGAAAACAAGUAUUAAUGCCAUUGUGAUAUAAAAGAACAAAAUUCAUAGAAUAAGAUCCAGUUUCUCUAUGCUUCUUUUGGUUCGCCGAAUUGGUACGCUAUUAUGUACAAUAUUACAGUUGUGCUUUGGAUAGGUUUAACUUCCUACAGGUAUAUUGCUGAGAGAUGAAUGUUCUGCCCACAAUUUCUUGAGGUUUGACUGGAAAGAGAACAUUGGAGACCUAAAACAUUAUAUCAGAAUAUGAUAAAAAGAUAUUUGAUUGCUCUUAAGUCCUGACUGCUGUUGUUGUCCUCGUUAGAGUUCAAUAGCAUGGGCGGAUCCAUGUAGCUGGUCCCAAAUUAUCACGGCCAUAUGAUGUUGUUAUUAUCAGAAACUUUUCUAAGCUACAAGUUUGGUAUUUGCGUUCCAAAAGGAAGAAGUUAAUUAUCAGGUUAGUGAUAUAUGUUCCAGCAUUUGAUAUCGCUAAUUUUCAGGGCGGCGAUUUGAGAUACUGCCAGAAGUGUUCACAUUAUAAGCCCCCACGUGCGCAUCAUUGUCGAAUUUGUAAAAGAUGUGUUUUAAGAAUGGUAUGUUGACUGUUUUGUCGUUUCACAUUUUAAAACUUUGUUUGCUUUUGACUAUUACUCUUUACUGUUUUCAGGAUCACCACUGUGUCUGGAUAAACAACUGUGUAGGGCAUGAAAAUUAUAAGAUCUUCUUUGUUUUUGUGCUGUUUGGUGUGUCUGCCUGUAUCCAUUCAAUGGUAUAACAUUCAUUUCGUUUAUGUUAUUAGUGAACAUGGAACUUAUCGGUGGUCAGAAUGACAAAAGGUUUACAUCGUUUAUGCUUUUAUAGGUUCUUCUUAUUUCUAGUGCUUCUCAUGCUCUUCAAAAAGAUCAACAGCAGAAUGGUGAAUCUUUCAAUAAAUCUUAUGUGAGUGACUUGUAACUACCUAACACACUGUUCCGUAAGAGAGAUGACUUAGUUUUUGGAUCAAUUUGACAGAUCCUUUGUGGGACUCUGCUGUGUCCUUUAACUGUCGCAUUAAGCAUCCUUUUGGGUUGGCACAUUUACCUUAUCCUGCAUAACAAGACCACAAUCGAGGUAUGAAGGUUCUCAUUUUUUUGAAAUAAUUAAUGAUCUUAUAGGGCACUUGAUUUCAUUUUGCUUCUUCUGCAGUACCAUGAAGGGGUAAGAGCUAUGUGGCUUGCAGAAAAAGUAGGAAAUGUUUAUCGACAUCCAUAUGACAUUGGUUUCUACGAAAAUCUAGUCUCGGUAAGGGGGAUGUUUCUUGCUUAAGGUUGCAGUCGCUCUUUCUUCGUUUCAGCGGCUUUGAGAAUUUUUCGGAACUCGAUAUAUGUUGAUUUCAGUUCCUGCCCACAGGUGCUGGGACCAAACUUCUUCUGUUGGUUCUGUCCAGUAUCAACGAAUAUAGGUUCUGGUCUCCGGUUCCGGACUGCAUAUGACAUUCCGACAUCCAGAUCACCAAUUUGAUAUAAACACGGCAAAGAUAUGCAAAGUCCUAAAGAUAGAAAAAUGUCAAGAGCUAGCUAGAUGGCAAUGGCAUGGGAACUCUCAUUGGUGCUGCCGGUCUAAAGUUAUCCGGCAGGGGUUCCAACUUUCAGGUUACAGGUGUGAGAGGAAUGCGAGCAGGUUAUGCUUCCAGUAAAUCAUGGGAUUUGUAAUCCUAUGUUGUGCACAGACCAUAAUAAGAUGUAUAAUGCUGUAAUUUAGUAUAUUUGUGUUCUUCCUCAGGUAGUAAGUAGUACGGAAACUCCUACUGAUCCAUAAGGCUGUAAACUGUGCAGUUGCUGAUUAAUGCUAACAUCUCCUUUUGCAAUUUUACAUGGUUCUUUACUUUGAUAUACUGCAACUUGUCUCACUCAUGAUGGGAGGGAAGAUGGCAUUUUCAGUAAUUUUCCAGAGUCAGUUUCCAGUGUCUCAAUUUUACAUUAUUUUUCUUCUUCUUCAUCAUCAUCAUCAUCAUCAUAUGUUGACCUGCUGUUGACUAAUACUCCGCAGGAAAUUGCAGGGGCAGCUCUUGUCGGGUUUGCUCUGCAAGCCUAAUUCCAUCUCGGAUCUGGAUUCGGAUCCAGAUCCGAAACGAGUCACUCCGCCCCCGCUUUCUACAAUAUCAAUUAAGUUUUUUUUUUCUCCUUUUUUUUUAAAAUAAUCAAUAUAGGAAUACUCUAAUACAUUUUUCCUUUUUUUUGUGGUCAAUAUAAGAAAUACGAUCAAAAUUGUAAAUGAUGCCAUCAUCGGCAACCGAAAUAUAUAAGUUAAACCUGAAUGAAUCCCCAGAUUCAUGACAGAUCUCAUGUGCGUGCAAUGUCCAGCAUCGGUAUCUAUCACUGUGAUGACAUGUGUUACUGAGUUGUUCUGUUGAAGAAAUGAUCCCACUCGUGUUCUCCCCCUCUUCCCGUCAGUGCGUACUUCCAACUCUCCUGUUCGCUGAAAUCUGGAACUCUUCCGCCCUUUAUAUCCUUCACCCUCUGAAUCACUCCCUCCACGGUCACAUCGAAGGCAUCGUUCGUCGUCUCCAGUCUGGUCCUGGGAUCUGCGUAAACCAACCUCGGUAUCAUCCUUAUCACCUCUUCUCUCAUAGCCAUCACAUCCUUCUUCCCAAAUCUCUCCAACACCUCCUCUAUCCUCACCUUCCCAUCUCGCACCUCAUCCUCCGAUAUCAACACCGAGUACUCGCUGUGGUUCCUCGGCAGGUGCCACACGUACUGCGCGUAAGCCGACCCCGGGUGGAAGAACACCGGCACGCACCCUGCGACCAUCGCAUCGAACGUCGACCUCCUCGUGUAGGAGUCCCCUUGCGGCUGCAGGCAGAAGAUCGAUCGCUGGAACAUCCCCAUGACGCUGCUCGGCGAGUGGCACUUGCUCCGCCCUUUGUCGCAUUCCAACAACUUGCACCGCCGAGACUGCCGGCACUGGCCGAUGAUCUCGUUGCGAAUCGAAUCUGUUAUGUUCGGCCGUGGGGCGCCCGCGAAGGAGAACAGCCAAGGCCUUCUGAUCCUCCUCAUCCUCUCUUGCCAUUGCUGCACCUCGCUGUCUUUGGAAGGGUGGAAAUAGGUGGGAUACGGUAUUCCGAAAUCGUUUUUGUGCCAAGGACUGGAUUCGAUUACUAGCACGGUCAUGUUCUUGCCCUCUGGAAUCACCAACAGCUUGCUUCCCCAGUCGUCUUCGUCGUCCGUCAACCUUCUGAAGUCCCAUGUGAUCCUCCCCGCCACCAUGAAAUGGUCCCUUCCGCCCAUCGUCGACCACUCGGGCCUCGACUUCAGCCACCUGAUCAGGUCCCUCGAUGUGGCGUCACGCACCGAAGUGUUGUAACCCCACAGGUAGCGGCCGAUGUCGAGGCCGGCGUAGAAGGGGACGAAGAUGGCCGAGGCCAGGGAGGAGUUGGUGGUCAGGCACUCGUACUGCUUCAUUCGGUUGUGGAAGAUGAGCUCGAGAGCGAACUGGUUGGUGGCGUACCACUCGGCGCCGUAGAAGACCCCUUCGGCGUUGUUGAGCCGGGGACCCAGCCCGGCGUUUGACACGAAGGGGCACAUGUCGGUCCACUUGCUAAGCGUGCGGCAGCUGCUGAUCAUGUCGGAGUUGAACCGUCCCGGCAGGUCGUGGACGUAGAUGUAUCGCCCAGAGCAUCGAUCGACGACCAGCGGCGGCGGCGGCGAGCCCAUGGACGGGGAAGCCAUGGGCGUGAUCAUCACCUCCGGCGUUACUGCGCGAUGCUUAUACCCGAGAUUGAAUAUGAAGGUAAAAGAAAUGAUGAUCAAUACGGCGCAAGAAACGGGGAUGGCGCACCACAAGCGUUUCCUGGCGUUGCCUCCGUUGCGUCUGUUGCCGAGUGUUGCCAUGGUCGACUGUAGGACCGAGCAGCGUCUCCUCACAGAGGAUCGUGCGCUGAUCGCCGAGGAAGGCUCACCAAAUACGUGCGUGCAGCAAAUCUUCUUCGGAGGAAGGGGGGAUGACGCUUUCAGAUACUCAGAAUCGGACAAUAUAUAGACUCCGUAAUUCACUGAACUAUUGUAACUUGGGUUUGGACAAGAAGGGCAGCGUCCCAUUCUUUGACAACCUACUUAACACUUUCUUCCCUGAUAACCAGCGCCGACGGUAGCUCGUUGUGACUCUCCAGUCUUGGAUGGCGAUUCUUUUGGUAGGGAGUAUUCUUUUGGAGGAAGGGGAGGAUGAGAGGACCCCACGCCGGAAGCAACCUUCCCCGGAGUCGGCAACGAGAGCGAGUGGCCGUCAUCGAGAAGGAAGACUUCCGCGCUCAUCGAGUCAGAGUCACCGUCACCUCGGCGGCGACGGCUUUUGCGACCCAGACCCGAACGUACGCCAUCCUCAUGCUUGAUCUUUGGCAUGAGAAACAUCAGGCAACGGUGACAUGGUGUUGGAGAUAUACUGGAUGGAUCACUAUCUGCUAUCACGGCAAGCAAUCUCCCCUGUGACACACUCUUUGCAUGAUACUCUUUGAUUCGCACAAAGAGUAGGAAGCUUUCCGAGCACUACUUACUAGCGGACGUAGCCAUCCUAAACGAUGUGUGUUUCCUGGCUACAACUUAGGAUCGAACGUACAUACAUAGGUUUACAUGUAGGUAACUGAAGUCACAUAUGCUCCAAGUCAGCACCCACAUCAGCACCAAGUAAACUCUCAUGUCGGUGUCACAUUGGCUCUAUAUCAUUGACCCAAUGGAUAUCACGGUAAGUAGUUUACUAAGGUCAAACACCCUUUCCACUAAAUAAGGACAAUGUCAUGUAAUUGGCACCGGCGCUGACGCUGACGUUAGGAGGAGGACUAUGAUACACAGUAGAAUCAAUUUACUCUCUUCUUAGUAUAAGCAAUUAGGAGUCUCUCUUCAACCAUCGUGGAUGAUUUAUGUUGCGGGAAAUAACUUUUUUAGCCGUAGCCUCGGGGCCGACGCGGCUCGGUUCGGGGGUCCGAAUGUCGGGGAUCUCGCGCAGUGUCCCUCGAGGUCUCUCGGUGGCCGAUCAUGGUGGUCCGGUCGGGACGUCGCGUCGGGGGGAAGCUUCGCCGCAGCGCCGGGAAGAAGCGACCCCGUCGUCACACUUGCACACAAGUCAGGCUGGGAGCUGGCCCGAGCCCUCCGACGAUCAAGUCAGUGAUGUGGAGGGGGUUUUAGAUGAGGAAGUGGCUGUGUGUGUGUUCUCCUCCCCCGUUCGUUUAGAACUCUGGGGAAUUUAUAGGUAAGUUUGAUGUUACCUGAUGUGCCUGUCUGCAGAAGCAUGACCGUACCUCUAAUGGCAUCUGACAUUGCCAUCGGGGUCGCGUAGAGAACCGACCUGCCGCAGGGUAUGGGCUAGCCUCGGUCAUCGUCCUCCUCUGCCUCGGGCGAGCAUGUAGGGUCAGGCAACGAUGAAGUCGUUGUCUGGAGCGAGUGACGUGGGCGCACAUCGGGUCGGCAUUAAUGCCCUCUUGCUCGGGCAGAGUGUAGCCCGGGCGUGGCUGAUGUCGUGGCGCGUCAUGCCCCUGUCAGAGGAUGUCCUUCCGGUUGACUCCCUCAUCAGGUUCAACCAUUAACAAGAAGAAAACAAAUAGUCAUUCCAUUUCUCCCUCCCUCGAUUAGCUCAGCUGGUAACCCUAUAGAACAUCUUUGUUUGUCAACGAUCUCCCAUGACUUCUUUGCCUCUACACGAGCAAAAGCCAAGUGUGGUAAGGAACUCUCGAUCAAUCUAUAGCAUAUGCGGCCUUGUUAGUAAAAAACGUAUCUUAGUAUCCUGAUACAUAUAUUUUUUCCGGAUGGAGGCAUAGCAGCAAGUGGCUAAUGUAGUCGUCUUCUCGGUUAAAUCAUCUCUUAUUAUUCUACCUAUUUCGAGAAAAAAACAUACACACAUGUGGCCUUGACCUAAGUAUCUCUUAAUGCUUAAUGCACUCUGUCUUGAUACAAGUAUGCCAAGUGUCUGAUCAAAGUAUCUCUUGAUGAUAUCCAAUGCGUACAUAUUGAACAAUACAAAGUAUUUGAUGCGACAUCCUCAACCAAAGCAUCUCUUCAUCUCGAAUAGAAACAUUAAGAAUGUCCCGUGCAUCCUCCUUAACCAAAACAUCUCUUGUUUAAUGGUCCGGGGGGGGGGGGGGCGGGGUUGGGUAGACACAUCGGACCAACCCAAGAUGGGACUUGGAAUUCUUCUUUGGUAGCACGUGUUUACGAAAGAGAAGGUCGAUGUCGAGGGGGAAUGCCCAACUCAACCCCUUCUGAAGCCUAAGUUAAUUUUAAAAGGAUUUGAAAGUAUUUUGUCGAUGUUCGAGGUCCGAUCUCUUGGCAUUGGCUAGGGGGUCGAUUUUAAUACAUGUUUUCGGGGGUUGAUAACAUUGGGAUAUAUGAUAACAUUGAGGCAUAUCGAUCUAAACUGUGCACGUAUCAAGUGUUAGAUAUAAGAGACGCAUGAGACGUUGGGAUGUGCUUAUUUGGAUGGCUCGUGUUGGGAAUAAAUGUGCAAGGGCAUCACAGUGUUCGGACUCGAAUGUCAUACAUUACAUAGAGACUGGCAGAUGAUAGAAAUAACGAGGGUAUCAAGGAAAGAAGAAGAAUCGAUAAACAUGAUAUUGAGGUCGUAGAAAUUAUAUGUCACAACUGCAGUGCAACCAGUGUGGGAGGGUAGCACUACGAGAGCAACAAGUGAAGUAUGACGACAACGACGGUAGCAACCACCACUACGGUGACAACAAUGGCAACGUCGAUGGCUGAGGGUAGCACUUCAAUAACCAAGGGUGGUAAAAGCGUCAGAGUAUGAUGGCAAUGGCAGCUUGGGCGAUAAGGGAGUGAACCAGGUCGACCGCGACGACAUUGCCGGUGCACACCCAAUCUGUACGCACCGGCGGCGGCUAGAUCGGUGAUGAUAAUAGCGCGAGUGGUGGCAGGAAGAAGAGGGGAGAGAGAGUUGGUAGCAGCUCGACACAUAGCACCCAGGAUUGGAUUUAUAGUGGGAAUCCACAACAACGUGAUGACUGCAGUGCAUGAGGAAUGUGACUAAUAUGCGGUUCCACGCAAGGCUUAAUCUUGUAGAUUAGUGUCACUUCCCGGGAACAACGAAACCUGACUCCUUCGAAGACAAGAAUGACAUUACUGCCAUACAUUUCACAACCAUCAACAAUGGUUGUGAAAUGUUUUUCUUGAAGCUGCUCCUUCAUAUCAGAAAUCUUUUUUCUGCACGGUGGUGGCGUCUCCUCCUCCUUCUUCUUCUUCAUCCAUGUGCUUCAUGAUCUGAAAAAGGCAAGGUUAGAUGCGAACCUUCAUUAUAAGAUUGGAGCAACGAGUCUCUCUGUUCCAUCAUGUUAUCUAGCGACAGUGAGGUUUCAUUGUAUUUACAUUCCAGCUCUUGUAAGUGCUUGCUUUUCACCUCAAUCUGGCUUGCCAAGUUUGCCACAAGCCUAUCUGUUCUGCUGGACUCUUCGGCUGCAAGAUCGCCGACAGACUUGAGAUCUCCGUUUUGACUUAAAUGAUCGCCGACGGGGCCUGCGGAUGUAUAAUCCCCUGCUCUUGCAACCCAACCACAGAUGUUCGAGCCGCGAAAUCUGUUGUCUAACCAGUCCCUCUUUCCACGGCGAUCGGCUUCGAAAUGAUUCUCGAAUGCCAUGGCAUCUCUAAAACCAGUCCAAUCUUUGGCACAGAGGAUGAUGUGCUUUCAACGGAUUAAACGGGGAAAGCUGCUGCUUCCACUUUCACCUAUACACCGCCCGUUCUUGAACUCGGUUAGGAUAUUAGCUACGACACCCAUCCAGGGCCAAACAAACAGCUCUUCCGAUUGGCUUUUGGAGCUGCUCGGCUGAAGGACCAUCGGCCGGGUGGAAGAUGUCGCAUUGCUCAAAAAUUUUGCCAUGGCACGAUGCUUCGCCUUCACUUUUCCGCUCCUUUUGGAUGCACCUAACGCGGUUGCAUGCUGAAGCAACUCUUCUCUGUAGGCGUACUCCCAUCUUCUUUUUGCCCACACAAAAGGGACAUCGACAAGUGUUAUCCGUCUUUCUAACUUUAUAUCGUCCUGCUUCAAAACGACGAUAAAUUUUUUCCUCGUAUGCGUCGAUCUCUGAGUCAUUUAUCUCAGACUCUGAACUCUGAUCCAUCGAGUCUACAAGGAACUGACAAAAAAUCAAUCAAUUACUAGAAAAAAAAAUAAACUAUCCUAAGUUAUGGAUAUGUCAAACCAUUGAUUGCCUUGAACACCUAAUGCACUCGCAUUCAUCCACCAAACGAUCCAAUGAGUAAACAGUAGUCAAGUGAAGUCAGGAAUGGAAUGUAUGAUCACAAAACAAAACAAAGCAAAGCAAAGCAAACGAUAUUAUCACAAACAACACGAAAAUCAUAUCAGAGAUCAUCGAAUGAAAGAAGAUGACAGUAGUAAUAACAGAAGGUGUCGAAAUAGAAAAUAAUGGACCAUUUCAGUGAAUUAGUAAAGAAAGCUCAUUUCACACUCUCCUAGAAUGGAGAGAUCUUGAUCUUCUCUCAUGAAAUAGAGAACAAUAGCAAACACAUAUUCGAUUCCUCCGAUUCAGACAAAUUCGAUUGCCAAAUCAAAUAAGACCCACCACUAAUUUGAUAAGGUAAGUAUUUAACCCAUUAAAUGCUAGGCAUAAUGAGUUAUAAGGGCCUUCAAAUUACUUCUUUUCCUCUUUAUGAAUUUAAGGCAGAUAAAAUCUUAUAUUUAAUUGUUAUAACGAAAUGAUACAUAUUCCAACCCUUCUUUUCCUCCUAUUCGAUUAUUAUAACAUAAUGAUAGAGAUUUCAACCUUAUAUUCUUCUAACAAGAGAUAAAAAAAAAGAAAGCUUAUUUCACACACAAUACAACAAUAUUAUGAUAUUUUUACCCACUAAAGUGAUGAUAUACUCUUUCCUAAUAAUAGACGGUGGAUUUAUCUAUGUGUCGUGUGCCUUCUCUUGUCGUGAAAAUUAUUUUUUUCAUUCAUUUAUGUAUAUAUUUAAAAAAAAUCACAUGAUAAAAAUAUCACGAUAGACUAUGCUCGUAAACUAUAACACUUGAAACGUAAAUCACUCACCAUAAUCACAUAUAGUAAUAAUAGUAUUAAUAAUAUGUAUCAUAUCAUCAAUCUUUGUGUUAAAUACCAUUUAAACUUAAAAAUCAUUAAUCAUAUUUAAAUUUAUCAUAACUUUAAAAAAUAUUUUAAAUUUAUAAAUAAUAAAUCCAUGAAGUGUUAGCUCAUCUAUAAAUUUUAAUUGAAUUGAACCUAAUAUGUUUUCAAUUAGAUUCCAACAAAUUGACUUCAAGUCCACUUAAAAUUGAUAAUAAAAAAAAAAUAUGUUAAGCUAUAUAAUUAAGUAAUUGAUUUAAUAAUUGAUAAAAUAAAUAUUCAACCCAUUCAACGUUAGACAUAAUGAGUAUAAGAGCUUAAAUUGUAGCUCCUUCACUUCCAACAUGGAUCACUCACCAUAAUCAUUUGUCUUAAUGUAAUAAUAGUAUUAUAUCAUCAAUUUUUGUGUCAAACACGAUUUAAACUUAAAAAAACUAUUAAUCAUCUUUUAAAGUUUUUAAGCAUAAUUUAAAAAAAUCGAGUGCUACCUUUGUUUGCCUCGCUACGCGACGAAGUUGCCGCUUGGGAUAAGACACACCGGGGUGGGGGCGGGGUGACGCCGGAGUCUUAGUCUGAAAUCGUGGGCUACGUUGGAACACGACGUGAUCGCUGGUGCUGUGCAUCUGGUCAUCCUCCGUCCCAACCUUGUAUUGUACGAUUAAUCCGAGAGAGAGAGAGAGAGAGAGAGGGAGUUGAUGUUUCGGGAGUCGACCAUUACUGCUGACGUUAAUCGUUCGAAGAUGCUCGUCUCAGAUCGUCAGCUUAAACGGGACAGACUAAGAACAUUGGAACCGUAGAGGGCUGGCUGGGUUUCAUUUGAUCUUUCUUUUGAAACAUUUAGGUAGAGAAAGGAAAAAGUUUUUGGAUGUGUUGUUGUAAUUAUCAAACAUGAUGAUACUCGGUGGUCCGAUCCUCUUUGACCGCAGCUGUCCUCUCCUACUCCAAGUUGUCCCUUACCAGCUAGUUCGAGGUCGGGUCCUCACCUCUUAAAUACGAUUUCAUUAUGCUUCUAUGCACCGUCGACGGUCAGUGUAAUUAUAUUCUCUUCUUUCCCUGUCUUUUUUCUUUCUUCUCGAUUAGCAAUAAGAAAAAACCAAAAACAGACGGAGAGCGAGAAUUAGAAGCUGGGAAUGCGGGGAUAGGCUGGUCCCUCACAUCAACCCAGUAGCGUCGACACCAGGCUGGGCCACAGCCUUUAGUGUGUGCUCUCUCUCUCUCUCUCUCUCUCUUUCUCUCUCUCAUUCUUGCACUGCUAUGUGGAAGUGGUCCGCUCUUACGGGCCUCCAAGCCAUUGGCCCAGUGUUGACGUCAGCACUCGUACGACUCUUUCACUCCCGUGACGCAAUGGAGUGACAGAAGCACGCCUUUCUCUUAGCUUGGCUUGGCUUGGCUUGGCUUGGCUUGGCUGGUGAUGAACAAACACUUGUUCUUCCUUAGAGAGCAGAUGGAGGGAUGCGAUCCCAAAGCGUGUCUCGGAGGAGGAAGAGGGACGGAAGAAGAACAAGUUUCGUGUGUCGAGGGGUUCGAAUAUAUCGAGAGGACCACCGCCUCCUCUCUUGUCACCAUCAACCCAAGAGAGUUACGCACCCUACUCCAUAGACUGGUCUAACAUCGCUCCCCAUCAGGCCUCGGUGAAUUAAUUGUGUUCCCUCCCACGUGUUAUCUAUGUCGUGUUUCCACCAGCGUCGACGAACGACGACGGAAGCAUGUAAUUUGAUUGUCAUUCCACAUCCACAGUGACGGACAGUGAUAGAUGCGUCAUCGGAUGAUACACCUCAUGCUUCCUGCCAUCCAUGAUUUGCUCAUGUUUCCCCUCCCUCACUUCUUUUUGCUAAUCGUCACCUCACACAUCGAAUGAUCAAAUGGUCCAUGUUUUCUUCUUAGCUGCUACGUUUACUGUAUAAUCCUUGUUCGUCGGCUUGCCUACACCAUCUCUCUCCGUCUCUCGUCUGCUUGAAAGCUGUGCAUCACAACAAAGCUUAAUGAGCUCGACUGUGGAAGCACGUUGGCUGUAUCAGGCUUUUUAUUCCAUGGGGUGCGACCGCAGCAUUGAUGUUCCACACCGACUAUGAUGCAACCGGACUCACGUCAUCCGACUAUUCAUAGCUCCCGCUAUCGUCAAAGUGGAUCGAGACACACCCGUCAUCUUCGCUUGACGUGCCUUGGCUCGUUCGUCCACGGAGGAACGCUGACCACGAAAGCCCACCGGAUGCAACAGUCAGGUAGUUCAGUGAUCUACGGGAGAAGUCACCUCCGACUCAUCCAUCGAUUACCAUGCACCGAUGAAUGAUAAUUUGACAUGGAGUUUAACCUACGGCAUUUGUUGUGGACUUUGACGUUACUAAUGUGUCGGAUUGCACUGUACGUGCACAUGCAUGGGCAUACCUAAUACUAUUCUUCUUCUUCAUGUACUACAUACAAAUCGCCAAUUAGGUGAUAAGCUAUUAUUCUAUGGUGGAGUUGGAAGGUUCGACCAAAGUUCUCUGGUCCGCUAAAGAAUAAUAAGAACCAUCCAAAAAAGCUCUUGAAAGGCAGAUCAUCGGAGACUGUCCGUCAUAGGGAGUGGAGAGUCGGAUGUGCAACCCAUCCAUGAAAACACAUGGUCGCCAAAAGCCUUGUCUUAAUAAUAAGAAUGAUGCUGGUGGGAUGACACUCUCGCAGACAUGUCCUAUACGAGUCCAUAAUUUGAACGUCCGAACAAGCUUCUUGGUAGGAUAACCCUCUCAAAGACUUGACCUAUCAUCGCACUCAUAGUGGCGAUCACGUGAUCUGACAUGUUGUGAAGCCCACCGCUGGGCUUCAGUAGUUGCAAGGAAUUAAUCUACUACGUGUUGUUGGUGACUUGGCGCGUGAGUUGACGACCCCUCGAUGGGUCAUCACGUAGCACAAGACCAGUAGUCUCUCUCUCUCUCUCUUUAUAUAUAUAUAUAUAUAUAUAUAUAUGGAAGGUGCUGCACAAUCACAGUGGCUGAACCAUGGCAGGCUCAGUGGAGUGGGUGGACAGUGGAGACAACAAAGGGAGCGAUGAGAGGGAAGGGAUGGUGGUGGGACUGCGGGUGGGACGGUGAGAGGGAGGGAGAGGGCGACGCAACCGGUUGCUGACACCGAAGGAAGACAAAGCGCGAAGGCGAGAAGGAAGGAGAAGGUCGAGUCCCCAUCUGGAUCCGUCCGCGUGUGCCGAGAAAAGCGCGCUAAAACACGACACACAUGUUGCUGCAGUAUUAGUACUAGUCAUCCCUCUGUCUUCUCCUCUCUCUCUCCCCACCUUUUCUCCCAUUCUCCCUCUCCAAUGAUGCCUCUUGCCUCACCAGCUAAAGAUCGCGUCGUCUACCGUAAAUGCUACUGUCUACUAUUACCACCAGAAUCGACUUCAAAGAAGAGCGACUGUUGCACUCUCUCUACAUAUAUCUCUUUCUAUGCUCCUGUAGUUGGUUGUUGGUGUGAACAGGGUUUUCACGGCUUUGACCCACUCUUGCCGUAUACCGCGGCAGGGAACCAAGCCGAAGUCAGUGCAUCGACGAGGCGAGAGAGAGAGAUAGAGAGGAUUAACGCCGUACGACGUGAUGGCUCCGGGCAUGACAAAAAAUGCUGGCGCAGCAGAGGAGGGAGGGGAUAGUCUAUCUGCCUACGUUUAUUUGUCUCCUGAGUCUCCUCCUAUCAUUUUCUUCUACUUCUCAUAUAUUUCCAGCCGGAUUUAAUGUGUUCAAGAACACGAUUCCUAUUUGCUUUCUCGUCCAAUGUGUGUGGUCGCUAGAAAUUUAAAUUUAGAAAUACUGGGUCUCUCUCUCGCUCGCUCGCGCAUUCUUCUCUCCGCAUCUUCUCCGCCGUACCAGUACUGCGUGUUACUGUAGUAGUAGUGUAAAUGGGAUCACGGCAUCACAUUGCCUUCGACUUCGACUUCGACACCGACGCGGCUCCUACCGCUCCCCAUUCUAUGUAGGGAGUACUCCUUCUACCCACCCACCUCUGUUGCCGCCUUUCGUCUUUUUGCCCUUGGCGUGCGCUUCCUUUGCGCUACUGUCACUUUGCCCUUCCUCCUCUCCUUCCCUUAUAUAUACACCCACCCACCUCCUCCUCCCUUGCCCAAACACAUUCCCUUCUCUGUUCUCUGCCGUUGGUUUUGAUCGAAACCGGGAGCCUUGGUCAUCAUCGAAAGGUCAUUUGUACUUGUUUGAUCCUUCGCUUCUAUGAAUCUCAUCUUUUCUCCUCCUCCUCUUCUGCUUCUUUGUUUUGCUCGACUAAAUCCACCUCUUCUCAUCGAGAUGUUGCGAUGAGAAUUAUGGUUUGGGUUCAUAUUCCGUACCAUAUGCCGCAUCAUAACAUAUUCUUAAAGUGGUGUAUCUGCUGAGUUGGGACAAUCAUUAGGUCUAUUAUUCUGAUCUAACUAUGCUGGCAAUGAUUACCAACAAAUUAUUAUAUUAGUCCUGCCUCUUCUUAGAUCUUCUACUUUGCCUUGUGCCAUCCGUGAUACAGGAAACUCUUUCGGUUCUAGCAUCUGCAAACUAGUUAGAAGAUUCGGUAGGAUCGUCGAUUGCUGUUGUUGAAUUAUAUGCGUUUUGAUCUCGGAUAGGUAUGAGGUAUCCUCCGGGGCGAUGGGAUUUGGCCUCUGCAAAUGAAGGAUAGGCAGCGGUGGAGGGCCGAAGAGGAUGCUAUAUUGCGCGCAUACGUGAAGCAGUAUGGUCCCAGGGAGUGGAACCUCGUGUCCCAGCGCAUGAACGUAGCGCUCAACAGGGACGCCAAAUCCUGCUUGGAGAGGUGGAAGAACUACCUCAAGCCGGGAAUCAAGAAAGGAUCACUCACCGAGGAGGAGCAGCGGCUGGUGAUCCGGCUGCAGGCGAAGCACGGCAACAAGUGGAAGAAGAUCGCGGCGGAGGUCCCCGGGCGCACACCCAAGCGGCUGGGCAAGUGGUGGGAGGUCUUCAAGGAGAAGCAGCAGAGGCAGCAGAACGAGAGCAACAAAGCGGCGACGAGCCCGGCGGAGCCAGCCAAAUACGACCGCAUUCUCGAGAACUUCGCGGAGAAGCUGGUCAGGGAGCGGCGGGGAGUCCCACUGCUCAUGGCCGCGCCAUUCCUCCCGCUGUGGCUUUCCAACAAUGGCGGAUCCCAUGGGCCGCCGUCGCCCUCGGUUACUCUUACACUCUCGUCUUCCACCGUCCCUCCUACGCCUAAACCCUGGCUGCAAUCCGAGGGAGGCGCGGACGGUGGCUUGGGACUGGCGAUGUCACAGAAGGGCAUGGCUUUGGGGGUCUCCGGUUCGGUGGUCGUCGACGGCCACAUCAUGACGGAGCUGGUGGAGUGCUGCAGAGAGGUCGAGGAAGGGCAUCGGGCAUGGAUGGAGCAGAAGAAGGAGGCAGCAUGGAGGAUGAAGAGGCUGGAGCUGCAACUGGAGUCGGAGAAGACCGGCAAGAGGAGGGAGAAGAUGGAGGAGAUCGAGGCCAAAGUGCGGGCGCUCAGGGAGGAGCAGCAGGCGGCACUGGAGAGGAUCGAAGCAGAGUACGGGGAGCAGAUCGCAAGGUUGAGGAAGGAUGCCGAAGCCAAGGAGCAGAAAGUGGCAGAGCAGUGGGCUGCGAAGCACGUGCGACUGAGCAGGUUCCUUGAUCAGGUCGGCUACCGACAGUGGCCGCCGGCGGAGACGCAUGGGCGGUGAGCGGAAGUCGACUGGCUAUGUAUUUACUAUUACUGAUGUGCUUUUUACCUUUCGUGGUCUUCGCCGUUGGAUAGUCGGAACAUGCAUUUGUUCCGUCUCCGGAUCUUAAAACCCACGGAACACAUAUGAUUUGUCUUCUUCAUGCAAUGUCUUUUUUCCCAGGCUUCGGUUCGAUUUGAUCUUUUAAAUCGUUUCUCCGGUCCAAUUCACCGAUGAUCUUAUUCGAUCUCCGGCCACAGAAAAUUAUCCCGGUCUCCUCACGACAUGUUCAGGCGAAGUGCAUUCACAAGGCUCUGAUGGUUGCUUUCCAAGCGUCCUUGAAUCGGUCGCGUCGAUGGCUUCUUCUUCAACAGAGACCUCGUUGGUCUCUGUCAAAUGGGUUCCCCGGCUGUCCAUCUAAUCACAAACCACUACUGUUACAAAUACAAUAUGGAGGAGGAGGAGGAGGAGGAGGAGAAUUCACUGCUUUCAACAAUGGAAACUAAAAUACAGAACUUAGAGACGAUGAGAUUUCUUCACAGGUACAAUUAUCACUAACAAUUUUCCUAAAAAGAGAAAAAACAAGAGACUCAGUGAAUUAAGUGCUAUGGUGAAGGAUUCACAAAAGUAGUGUAGGAGUAAAAUCUAGCUUAGGUUUUGGUGAAGAAGGUUGUUGUUGUACCUUACGGUGCAACUGGAUGCUCAUCGAGUUAUGUUGUAUUCAUGAUUGGUUGGCUGGCUUCUGUCAGCAUUAGUGCAAUCAGAUCUACCAGGGAUUAAAAUCCAAGUUGCUUCUCCACAGAUUUAAGAUGAUUGCAACUCUUUUGGACCUUAAAGGAACUGAAUUGAAACCAAAAGUUACUACAAGGUUGAAGAACCGAAUGAUGGUGGUGCUCGAGUGUCUCCAUUUUCCCCUCCUCAGUACUCCGACCAUCCUUUUUGAUCAUAGGAUCGAACUGAAUGGUUCUUUUGUAAUCGAAAAUCUCAUGACAUGUUUGGACCGAUACCAAAAAACAAACCUACAUUUUCUUACCGAGAAAUAUUAGUAUGUUUUCAAAAGACAUAAAGAAUAAUUAUUUUGUGUUUCCACUCCUCCUUUCAUUCAUAUGAACUGUGCGAGAGAAUAUAUAAUAUACCAGGUGAUGAACUAAAUCAUUUCGAUGACAGGUAUCAAAACAAAAGAGAAAAUGUACAAUAUCUUAACAUUUCAGCUUCCCAUAAGAGUAUGUAUGGAUUCAGGAGAAGCCAAGGAAAGGGUUCUUUUAUUUACUUCCUCAGAACACCUUUUGCCAUCGAUGGCGACACUGAACAACCUCUGUUCUACCCGGAAAGAAGUCAGCUGCAAAGGCAGCGAUUGGAGACCAUAAAGAUGACACCAAAAUUACUGGCAAAGUUUAGAGGAGGAAGUCAUCGCAUAAUGCUUUGACAGAAUUGUAGACUGGUCAUAGGUUCGAAUUGUCGGCUCAAGUGUUCUUUGCGACUAUGGAGAGAAAUGCAUAAUCGCAAAGAAAUGCUGAAGCAACAUGAAUGGUUUGGAGAGAAAUGCAUUAUAAUUGCUCAUUCAUGGCAUGAACUGUUGUACACUUGAUCAUGAGACUGACUACAUGGACUCGUGCCAUGAUGGAAGGUUUCUUUGCGACUAUGGCAAUGGCUCCAAAUAGAAUAAUGAAAUAACAAUUACGAAACUAUUUUCGUAAUGGACGGUGCGUGCCUAUAGAUCAAACAAUUAAGCAGUAACAAGAGAAGAUUGCUGGUUACCUAUUUUCUUGCAGCAUCUUCCUCUGUAAACUUCAACAGCUUUUCUUGAUGUUUCAUCCUGUGGAAUGUAGCAGCUAGAGGUUAGAAGAAGAGCUUAUCAGAAUGUAACCAUGAAGACAAGAAGAAAUAUUUAUGAUUUGAUGAAAAAAGCCGAUUUGUUUUGAUGUAAUAUUCAGAUAGAUGGAUACAACCAUCCAAAACAGCCGCAGUCGAGUGAUUCACAAAUCAAAAGCGACUGAAUUCAGUAAAGCGGUACAUGGGAGAAAGAGAUGGAAGUCAAGGGGACAUCAGAGAAAGGUGCUGCUCGGUGGCAUUCUCGCCAACGAGUUCCCGACCUGGCCUCGACUUUUUGCCUAGAAGACCCAGACGAUCGAUGUGCUUGCUAUUCGGCAAAAAUCCCGUCCUUGUCAUUUCGUCGAACGACUCAAACGCAACGCACAUGGAUCUCAAUGCGCUUGGCGGUCCAAAUCCACAAGGCACAGGCACAGGCACAGGCUCAAACAUUACGGGGCUCCUUCCCAUUUAACUCCAUUCCGACUCAUCUGGAAGCAGGCUGUAGCCGCUGUUCGGCUAGUGGAGGCCGGAGAGCCCACACGGAGGCGGGUCUACGUCGGGACAAGUAAGUGAAGCGAAUUGGCAGGAAUAAACUACUCCAUGCAACAACCUACACCCUCCGAUUACUAAACUACUCCAUGCACGUAUUAUCAGAGCAUGGACGGACCGAAUGCUGCCGAGACAAACUACAUAUAUAAGGAGAAGGUUACUGCACCGCCAUCGAAGCAGCACGUAGGGUUACUAUGCUUCGUAAACUAGGGUUAAUAUAGCGGGGGGGGGAAGUGCCCAAAGAUCUCGUAGGGUUUGACUCGCUUGGCUGCCUUUUUCCUAGCUCCCAAAGUGAGCCCGUGAUCAGCCAUCAUGCUGCCUGCUUGCUUAGGCCGACGCCAUUGACCUUUGGGGAGCAGUAAGGAGAUCAAACAAAGAUCGGAAAUCUAAACAAUCAUAUGAUCGUCGUCGACCGUCAACGAUAAAAAUGCCUCUCUGGUUUUGGUUCGAUCAAAUGAAAAUUCUUUUAAAAAAAUAAAGAAAAAAGAUGAUUUCGAUUCGAAAUCGUCGACUCCAAAAUCGAAAUUAUUGGUUCGAGAAAUAGAACCGAAACUGUCUGACUCGUUCAUUCUAAAUAUGAAUGAAGUCAGAGGCCUACUUGGAUACAGUGUUACGUUGCAUGAAUCCCAGUAGCCGCCGCGCUGUUGCACUUGGAAAGCAGCAGUGGGCAGAUGAGAGCUACCCGCCAACCGCGCCCUUUGUUCGUUGGUUACCUCUGUGAGGGUGGAUUAGAUUAGAUCGCGGUUUCAAGAAUCAACCGCUGUCACUUCCAAACGCUACUAUGUUUCGAAAUAUGCCCAAACAUUUUAUAAAGGCCAACCGAUAGAUGCUUAAAUGUCGUCUAUAUCUUUUCGGUCCGAAGCCAAGACUUUUUAGCUGCAUUAAAUUAGACGAAUCCUUCGCCGAUGAAUUGUUUCCACCACUUUCUAUUUUCAUUAAAAAUAUCAAAAUAUAUAUAACAAUAUGAAAUUAUAUAAUAUCAAAAUAUGAAAUUAAAAUAAUUUUAUUAUUAAAUAAGCAUUAAUUAACGUAGGCUUUACUACUAAGUUAUCUAUUCUAAAUAUCUACCGAGCUAAAACAUGUCAUUGCCACGACCGCCCGUUUCGGGUAUUCAUUGGGCUUCGUUUGUGUUCCGUGUUGCGGACCUUGUACCAAAUCACCUAGUCGCCCGGUGCUACCAACACCUCACGAGGCACCACACUCGUGCGGUCACCUCCGGUCGCCCGACCAAGGCUUUCAUCCUCCACCAUGGGCGGCACGCAAAGCGGUGGUGCGAUGGGUGGGUGAACGGACCCCAAAUCCGAUCGGAUCACUCCACGGAUAAUAAUAAUUAAAACUAUUAUUCUAAUACAUACAAUAUAUAUAACAUCACCACCAGCAUCAUCAUUAUGAUCAUCAUCAUCAUCUCCCACAUCUUUCUACUUCGCUUUGCUCUGGCUCUCUCUCUCUCUCUCUCUCUCUCUCUCGCGCACUCACUGGGCAGGAGACUGGAGUGGGGAGAAAGAAAGCGCAGCAAAUUGAAAUGGCGGCAUCAUCUCCACCACCACCUCCUCCUCCUCCGCCUCCUCUCCACCCGCAUUUGCGUAUUCCCUACUCUGCCCCUGCCCGCCUCCUGCUUUUCCUGUUGCUUAUAACUCACCCCGUUUCUUUGGCGGUUAACAUCACCGCCGUGCUCUCAGCCUACCGCGACCUCUCCGACUUCAAUCGCCUACUUAGCUCCACCUCCGUCCCCGGCGACCUCGCGGGACGCUCCUCCCUCACCAUCCUCGCCGUCCCCAACGCCUACCUCCUCCGCUCCUCGGCCGCCCGCACCGCCGCGGCCUCUGACAUCGCCGACGUCCUCCGCUACCACGUCCUCCUCGAGUACCUCUCGUGGCCCGACCUCCGCCGCAUCCCGACCGGCGGGAAGCUCGUCACCACUCUGUACCAGACCACCGGCAGGGCCGCCGGAAACCUCGGCGCCGUCAACCUCACCCGCGACGAGGGGGGCGGCGUCACCGCGCGCUCGCCCGCCCCCUUCUCCGCCUCCAACGCCACCAUCCUCGACCUCGUCGGCACCCACCCCUACAACGUCUCCGUCUUCGCCGUCAACGCGCUCCUCCUCCCCUACGGGUUCGACCUCGCCGCCUCGGAGACGCGCCCUCCCGUCGGGGUCAACAUCACGCGGGUCCUCUUCGACGGCCGCGACUUCAACGUGGCCGCCUCCAUGCUCGAGGCGUCGGGCGUCGCAGCAGAGUUCGAGGCCGACGAGCGCGGCGCCGGAAUCACCGUCUUCGUCCCCACCGACGAGGCCUUCGCAGAUCUCCCGGCCACCGAGCGGCUGCAGUCUUUGCCGGCGGACCGCAAGGCGGUGGUGCUCCGCUUCCACGUGCUCCACUCCUACUACCCCCUCGGCUCCCUCGAGUCCAUCGUCAACCCCGUCCAGCCCACGCUCGCCACCGAGGACACCGGCGCCGGCCGCUUUACCCUCAACAUCACGCGUGUCAACGGCUCGGUGGCCAUCGACACCGGCGUGGUCCAGGCGUCCAUCACGCGCACCGUGUUCGACCAGAACCCGGUGGCCGUAUUCGCCGUCUCCAAGGUGCUACUGCCGAGGGAGAUCUUCCCGGGGGAGACCAGCGGAGCGAUGCAGGCGGCAGCCGCUGCGCCGCCGCCGGUGGAGGCGGCGGGUCUCCCGCCGCAGGGGGCCGAGGACUGGGACACGCCGCCGGCGAGGCUGUCGUCGCCGCCGGGCCUCAGAGAGGAGCUUACGUCCGGGGCGGCCGUCCGCGAUGGGGUUGCCGUGUCCUGUAUAGCGUCGCUCUUUCUAAUGCAGCUGCUGGUAUGAGAUCUGCUUUCUCUUCCUUCAUCUAAAAUUUUCAUCUUUAUUUCUUGAUGUUCCGUCGGGGGUUGGGUGGUUAUUUUGGAUGGUAUUCGUAUACGAAGAUUGGAAUUUUAGCUGCAAAGCAGCCAUUUUAUUGCCCUUUCCUUCCUACAUGUUUUGGGUGAUUCAUGGCGGCAUUCAAUUUGGAAAUGUCGAAAUAAUCUGAUGGAAUUCCGAGCAAAAGUUUGUAGAAUCCGAUUCGUCUCUUCUCCUCUCUUCUUCUUACUUUCUUUUUCUUCUCCCGUUUCCGUUUCCGUUCUGUGAGGACGACGAUGGUUCUUUCCUUCCAUCUGCUGAAGAGCGACUAAAGACACAGAAAGCUCGCAGCUUUUAGGGGUCGGCCGAUCCAAAAAGAACAAAUCAAAACAAAACAAAUGCUUCGUUCUCGGUCUUUGCCAAGAAGAAAACAAACCAAAAAUCCACCGAAAUCUCGAAUUGGAGAUCAAGAAAGGAGAGUGCAUGGGUCCUUGGAUAAGAGAGAGUCUCAUCCAAUCUACUUGUAAUAGUUAGGGAAGAGAAAGCGUCCCCUUUUCAAUGGGAUGCUCGAGGACGGGGCUCCUGCCGUCUUCUCUCUGGGGUUGGGGAAAGGCUCAGGUCUUUCCGGGCUGGUUCCGGACUCGCGUGAGCUCACCGGGGUCGGUGAUGGGAUCGCGCUGGGCAGUGGGGAGUGAGCUGGCGGCAAUGAGACAGCGCAUUGCUGUCCGUGACCCACCCGUUAGAUUCUGCUCUCUCUGGAUGACGACGUCGACCCUUUGGGUUGCACUGCGUUUGGUUGGAUUUGGUUGCGUCGGGCCCCACGUGUGCGCCCGUCUCUCGACGUCCCUCGGCCCCACGCCACCCCCGGCUGGCGCUGCAGUCCUCCCGGGGGUGCGGGGAAUGGGCUGUAAGAUCUCUCUGUUUAGUCUGUACUGGCGAGACAUUGAAAUCUUGAGCUGACUUCAAUAGACAUAUAUGAACGUACUAAAUCGUGCUCAUCUCUUGCUGAGUUCAAGCUUUACCUCUCUAGCAAGGAUUGGACUCGUUGUCAUUGCGUGCAUGGAAUUCACCAUGGAAUUUCUAACUCUGCCAUCGUGUUCCUUCAUUUGUUAAACAAUGACAUACCUCUCCAGAAUUGUGAACCUGAACUUUUGUCGUUCGUCCUCUUUAUGGAAUUAACAUAUGGUUACAUCUCAGCAUCGAUUUUGAAUAAAGGGCUUGAAUCGACGGUGAGAAAAAUUCAAACUUUAAAUUCUACUUGAAGUCCGAGUCGGCUUUAACCAGUAUCUGCCUUAUAUGUUUAGUGAUAACUGAUCUUGAUCAACUUUCUAGUGGAUAUUUAGUAAAGAGAAGUUUUCUCAAGAUUUGAAGAGCAACUGUUAAGGGGGAAUAUUCAUCUCGUCUACCUAGAAUGAACUCAAGAUGAUGUGAGAAAUGGAAUAGUUACUAAAGAUUCUGAGUUUCUUGCCUACUGUAUAACCUACUCCUUGUGUCCAUACAAUCGAACAAGUUGUGAUCUGGCAAUACUCCAUCAUGUAUGGAAGAUCAUGGUAUUACUUGUACUGGACUCAAAGCAUUUAGGAACAGGGCAUAGGAUAUACAUCCGAGAUAAAGUUCACGUUGAUAAGUCUUUUACAUAUAAUUAGUUAGGCAUAAAAGUCAGUUCGUAUGACAAUAAAAGAUUCACGAUGAGGAGUCUAUAUAAAUGAUUCGAGUGCCUUUCUCUAAUAAUCAUUAAACGUGAGACAAGCUAGCCGAGGUGUCGAUUUAUUUCUCUUUAGAUUUAAGUGUACGCAUCAAGGAGACUAGCUCUUGUGGUCAUGCAUAGCAUGCAAUAUUUAUAAAAUCAGACAUAAUCAAGUAACAGUAAUAAAAAACUCUUGCUUUGAACAGAUAUUAUGGAUGCCUAAUUCUCAUAAGCUCAAGUUAUAGAAAUUAUUGUUCUUUUGGAUAAUCGUUCGUAACAGUAAGAUUUUGUAGCAUCCUGUAAUGAAAUUCAUUGAUGCACCUCUCUCCUGUUAUGGAUCUCUAAAUUGUCCAAAAAGUUGAGUGCUCGUAUAUUUUGAAGACAACUUUUUUAUUCGCAUGUUGUUCAUAACAAUAAAGAUUUCAUGAACUUUGUUAUCAAGGAAAUUUGAUUUGUUUACUUAAAAGAGUCUUAAAGAGAUUGCAAUAAUAGAACAUCUCAUAUCUUGAGAACGAUCCUUGGCAUAAGAUGUAGAUUUGUCUGAGCAAAUACAAGAACUAACAUAAAUGAACAAUCUGUCAGAGAUUAAAUGUUUGAUAAAUCCUUUUUAAAAUCUGGAUAUAUAAUUAUUCUUGCUAUGGCCACAUAGGUUUGAAGGAAAAUUUGUUAUUACCUAUGUUGGUCACCUUAGAGGAAUCCCUUUAAAAUUCUUUUAAGGAUGAUUCCCUUUAAAAGUCUUGAUGGACUUGUCAUUUUGUGAAUUGUUGGGACAGAAGAAGGCUGCACAGUGUACUGUCGAAUUUUUCUCAAACUGUUUGUUGUAACCUACAAUUGUAUAUUCUUUUUUCUUCUUUUCGUUUGGAGCAAAGCAAUUACAUUCUAGCUGUUUCUCAACGGUGUGGGUUAAUGAUAAAUCUUUUUGCUCUUUCUCUAUGUAUUUGUUAUUUGUUAGUGAAUCUCUGGAUUAUUCUCAAAACUCUGGUGUUUAACACACUAUAUGACUUGGUAUAUGUCAUGGUCUUCAGAGAAAGCAACUUGAUAGCCGAUCUUACCUGGUGGAUCUGGUUCUUCUUUACUUUCUCUUUUUUUUUUCCUUCUUUCUCAAGAUUAAGCAAACAAGUACAAUCGAAGGGGCUGUUGAAGUUUCAGUCAACAGGGAAAUCUGCGUCAUGAUUUUGACUGUGUUCGAGGGGCUUUAUGAUUUUGGGCAGGAAAGGUGAAAAAUGUUUUGUACGAAAAGGGGAUUUGGAUUCACAAGAAGGAUACUUGUUCUCACAGGUGGAAGGCCUUGGUGACUCAAAUCAGCAUUCUAUUGCUAUUUUAAGGAAUUGGGAGAUGCUGCUUACCCAUUUUUUUGUUCACCAUGGAGAGAGAAUAUAGAUCUAAAGGGAGAAAAAGAAUAAAGAUAUAACUCAGAACUCUGUCUCAACUUGCACUUACGCGAUGCGGAGUGGGGCAUGUGCUAGAAGUUGCAUCAGCACCAACACAUUAAAACCUUAUGCAUGUUGGAGGUUGAGUUUGUGGAUGGCACAUUGCAUCUCAAUGUCAUUAGACCCUGAGCCAGGAAAUGUUGGAGGUUGAGUUUGUGGAUGGCACAUUGCAUCUCAAUGUCAUUAGACCCUGAGCCAGGAAAUUGCGAACCGAGGAAAGCACAACAUGUUUUUAUCAAGUUUCAGUCACGAGCGAUUUGGUGCCAAAUCCUGAAAGAUCGAUGAAGAAUGAGAUUUUAUGUUAGACAUUUUGCGCUUUCAUUACUCGUGUGAUACUGUAAUGCUCUAAUUUGUUAUAUUGGUGAACCAAGUCAAUGGAAGAUGGAUUUCUUCUGUAUAUGCUGCUAUAGUUUUGUCAAAUCGUGACACCAUGUGAGCGUAGCAUGAGUUUGGAUCACAUGUUGAAUGUUUUUACCGAGUCCAGGAAAUCCUAAAGCAUUGGAUUUGAGAUUUGUUCUGGUAGAACAAAAUGAGAUGGUUGUGGAUCUGACCGUGACGACUGAGGCCUAAUGCUUCAGCAUAUGAAACUCAUGGUCUAAUGUUUGCUGUGUCUUUUGGCUUUGACUUGGGAAUGUAUAUAGAAUCCAGAGGAUAUGCUUGCCAUAAGAUGAGAUUGUCUCAACUUGCUAUCCUCUUAUAUGUGCAACUGUUUCAAGUCCUUUGAUAUGCUGCUACAGUACAGUACAGUACAGUACAUUUGAUUCAGAAAAAAAUGAAAUGACCCAAGUUGCUGCAGAACCAGAUCAUCUAUUAAUUCCUGUGCCUGGUGAGGCCAAAUUUGGAUCGAUCGAGAGUACUUGGGAGUCAUCAGCUGUAUCUGCAAUGUCAGAUGUUCCAGGUCAUAUUGUGUUCCACCAGUGGUCAGCCGGGUCGAUUACUUUGCUACGGAACAGCAUAUCAUUCGGGGCUGGAUUCAGGAAAGGCCAAUGGAGUUCAACUCAUCGCAAAAGGUCCAAAGCAGUGUGCUCCAUUACCUUACCUUACAGCUGUUGGAAAGAUGAGGACAAAGACAAAGACAAUUAGGAUGGGAGGUGGAGGUGGAGGGCAUGGUACGAUGGGUCAAACCUCCUCGCUUUAUGCUUGCUCAGUGGCCAACACCAUGCUGCGAGCUGGUCGCCGGCCGGCUGUAGAAUGAGAAUUAGGUUGUGUCCUGCUCGACCAUUAAUCUGCAUCAGAUCAUAAGCUAGCCGAGCCGCAGUGAGCUUGCAGACAGCUUACCGGUCAUAGUCUGCGUUACCAAAUGUUGAUCGAGACGGUCACUGCAGAGAUGAGAAUUGUGGAGUACUUUUUACGUCGAACACGUGGGGACGUCGAGCAUAGGAGGGAGGAACCGCCCCUCCUCCUGCUGCGGAAGGAAGGUUGCCAAGAAGGUAAGCGCUAUGGUGUGGUUUGAGGAAGCUGCAAGUCAAGGAAGACAUGCACGCAUGAGCGAGGAAUCAAUGGAGUCGGUCAGGUGCCAAGUCAAAGAUGGAAACUGUUCUUGUGAUCUCACUUGUUCAGAAGCACGAAGGGUGUGAAGAAGAAGAAGAAGGAGGAGGGCGUAAAAGGAUUGAUGGCUGAUGGACUCAUUCCACUUUGACCAAAUGAACUGAAAUAUGUGUACAGACGAGCUAUGUUUCCUUCUUCUUGACUUUGCAACGGAGUUAGGUUGUCUAUGGCUGUUGAAAGUUGAUUCAAAGAUUUGACUCCAUCUGUUUGAGAGAGAGAGAGAGAGAGAGAGNNNNNNNNNNNNNNNNNNNNNNNNNNNNNNNNNNNNNNNNNNNNNNNNNNNNNNNNNNNNNNNNNNNNNNNNNNNNNNNNNNNNNNNNNNNNNNNNNNNNNNNNNNNNNNNNNNNNNNNNNNNNNNNNNNNNNNNNNNNNNNNNNNNNNNNNNNNNNNNNNNNNNNNNNNNNNNNNNNNNNNNNNNNNNNNNNNNNNNNNNNNNNNNNNNNNNNNNNNNNNNNNNNNNNNNNNNNNNNNNNNNNNNNNNNNNNNNNNNNNNNNNNNNNNNNNNNNNNNNNNNNNNNNNNNNNNNNNNNNNNNNNNNNNNNNNNNNNNNNNNNNNNNNNNNNNNNNNNNNNNNNNNNNNNNNNNNNNNNNNNNNNNNNNNNNNNNNNNNNNNNNNNNNNNNNNNNNNNNNNNNNNNNNNNNNNNNNNNNNNNNNNNNNNNNNNNNNNNNNNNNNNNNNNNNNNNNNNNNNNNNNNNNNNNNNNNNNNNNNNNNNNNNNNNNNNNNNNNNNNNNNNNNNNNNNNNNNNNNNNNNNNNNNNNNNNNNNNNNNNNNNNNNNNNNNNNNNNNNNNNNNNNNNNNNNNNNNNNNNNNNNNNNNNNNNNNNNNNNNNNNNNNNNNNNNNNNNNNNNNNNNNNNNNNNNNNNNNNNNNNNNNNNNNNNNNNNNNNNNNNNNNNNNNNNNNNNNNNNNNNNNNNNNNNNNNNNNNNNNNNNNNNNNNNNNNNNNNNNNNNNNNNNNNNNNNNNNNNNNNNNNNNNNNNNNNNNNNNNNNNNNNNNNNNNNNNNNNNNNNNNNNNNNNNNNNNNNNNNNNNNNNNNNNNNNNNNNNNNNNNNNNNNNNNNNNNNNNNNNNNNNNNNNNNNNNNNNNNNNNNNNNNNNNNNNNNNNNNNNNNNNNNNNNNNNNNNNNNNNNNNNNNNNNNNNNNNNNNNNNNNNNNNNNNNNNNCUGUUUGAGAGAGAGAGAGAGAGAGAGAGAGGACAAGUUCAUGUGUUUUGACUCCAACAAAAUGGUUCGUCAUCCCUCGAAAAAACAAACAUGGAAUGAAUGCAUUUGAUUUGAUUUGAUUCCCAAGGCUUAAAGUGGGAUGCAAUGAAAUUUCUUGCAGAGGAUUCAUGAAAAGUGGAGGAAGCUCAUCUUAGCACGCCCCCUCUGACCGUAUCUGUCCUCUCCAUUAUGAUUCGAGACAGACAUUACGUGAAUUGUUUUUGCGGUCACACUUGCAAAAACUCUUUACCGACAAGACAAAGACGAUAUGAUAACGUGAUGUUGUGCCAGCUAUUAGUCGUUGACUCUAUCCACUGAUGUCAUUGUCAUUUGCCCGAUUGCUACAGAAUACAUAAUUACAUUUUUAUAUUUGAUUUAUGUACCUUUCUAAAUUUCAGUUUAGUUUUUUUUUUUUUGUAUUACCAAAUCUAAUCUAUCUAUAUGUUCAUUCUCGGAUUUGUUCUUCUCCUCGCAGGACAUGCAUGUGCUGCCGUGCUACAUCAUCUCUAUAUCUAGUUCAUCAAGGUUUCUGCAAAGUCCAAUAUGACAUUGAAGAGCCUUCACUCCCACCAUGCAACAUUGACAUUUAAGUUAAAGUGCCUCUUAUUCAGAUUCUAUCGGCGAGUAGACCUUUUGACAUUUCAACCAACCAAAAAAAUAAAAUUAACACAAAUAAAAAGCACCUGAGAAAUCCAAAGAGAAGACGACAAUAUCCAACCAAGAAACAAAAUUAAUUCCAAGGCCCAUCGUCGAUGAGGUCAAAUGCUUACGGAAGAGUGUUUCUUGUUCUGAGCUGGCCUGUCCUAAUUAACCCAAUCGGACAAAUACCAUAUCACUCUCUCUCUCUCUCUCGGCCAGCCAACCCUCCUCCAUCUCCUUCGAGUCAUCCUGCGAUAGGGAUGAAGGGUAGAUGUACCGCUCCGCAUUGAUUCGACGCCACAAACGGCUCAUGGUGCCAUUGCAUCAUCAUUUAUGGGCUUUCUCUCGAGCUGCAUGCAUCCAUCCAUAAGUAUUCAAUUCACCUGCAAACUUCCCCUCCCCCAAACAAAAAAGUCCCAUCGAUUCCUAUUAUAUCACGUUGUAUUCAAUCAAAUCGAGUGUGUACAAAACCCAUGCACCUUUUUCUUUCUUCUUCCCGUCUCUCUACGGUCUUCUGGAUUCGCAAGUCAGCGGUUCCGGUGGAAAUCGGAUGCUUCGUCCAGCAACGGUGACGAUUAGGCGCACAUUGCCCUUGCGGCUUCCCGGUC